UAAACGGUCCUUUUAAGGACCAUCAAAUCUUUAAAAGGGAGUCUAA
rnacentral:ncRNA from 1 species